UACGAAGGGGGCUAGCGUUGCUCGGAAUCACUGGGCGUAAAGCGCACGUAGGCGGCUUGUUAAGUCAGGGGUGAAAUCCUGGAGCUCAACUCCAGAACUGCCUUUGAUACUGGCGAGCUUGAGUUCGGGAGAGGUGAGUGGAACUGCGAGUGUAGAGGUGAAAUUCGUAGAUAUUCGCAAGAACACCAGUGGCGAAGGCGGCUCACUGGCCCGAUACUGACGCUGAGGUGCGAAAGCGUGGGGAGCAAGCAGG
rnacentral:rRNA from 1 species